UACGGAGGGUGCAAGCGUUAUCCGGAUUCACUGGGUUUAAAGGGUGCGUAGGUGGGUCUGUAAGUCAGUGGUGAAAUCUCCAAGCUUAACUUGGAAACUGCCGUUGAUACUAUAGACCUUUGAAUGCUGUGGAGGUGAGCGGAAUAUGUCAUGUAGCGGUGAAAUGACUUAGUAUAUGACAUAGAACACCAAUUGCGAAAGGCAGCUCACUACCCAGAC
rnacentral:rRNA from 1 species